AUUGAACGCUGGCGGAAUGCUUUACACAUGCGAGUCGAACGGCAGCACGGACUUCGGUCUGGUGGCGAGUGGCGAACGGGUGAGUAAUGUAUCGGAACGUGCCCAGUCGUGGGGGAUAACGUAGUGAAAAUUACGCUAAUACCGCAUACGAUCUAUGGAUGAAAGCGGGGGAUCGCAAGACCUCGUGCGAUUGGAGCGGCCGAUAUCAGAUUAGGUAGGUGGUGGGGUAAAGGCCCACCAAGCCAACGAUCUGUAGCUGGUCUGAGAGGACGACCAGCCACAGUGGAGCUGAGACACGGUACAGACUCCUAAGGGAGGCAGCAGUGGUGAAUUUUGGACAAUGGGCGAAAGCCUGAUCCAGCCAUUCCGCGUGCAGGAUGAAGGCCCUCGGGUUGUAAACUGCUUUUGUACAGAACGAAAAGGUUUCUACUAAUACUAGGAGCUCAUGACGGUACUGUAAGAAUAAGCACCGGCUAACUACGUGCCAGCAGCCGCAGUAA
rnacentral:rRNA from 1 species